rnacentral:lncRNA from 1 species
GGACAGGCCACCCGACAGGGGCGGGGCCCUCACUGAUGGGAGGCGCCGAUGGGGGAGCUUGAGGUGGCGUGAAGGCGCAGCCUCUUCUGCGUUGGUCAGGGCCAGGGCCCUGGGGGAGGGGGAGGGUUUGGCACGCAGGGUGUGAGAGCGGCAGGUCCCUGGGUACCCCAAAUCCUGCCUAGCCCACACCCUGCUCCACCCACCCCCACUUCAUCCAGUCUGGCACAGCGCUCUGGUACUCCCCGGUGCCUGUCAACUGCGCACCCCCCUCGCCAGCCUCAAAGAACAGACUCGCCAGUUCUGGCCCCCCAGGAUUCCAAUCCCCCAUCUACCCGAUGCUGCAGCGCAUGCUGUCGCCAGCGGGGGGCAGUAGAGACCGAAAAAAGGUCGGCGCUCCCUGCCUGGAAUCCUGGAGCUGGGAACUUAGGGCGGGGGUCUGGGGGCUUGAGGCAUUGCCGAGGGGUCUGAAGGGCGACCAGGGUCGCCAGUGUUCUUGGAGCUCCGGAGAUCCCCGGCUGUAGGGGCGGGGGCGCUAUUUUGGUGCAGCAGCUGCUGCGGUUCCGGCAUCUCCAGCCAAGGGAUCAAAAUUCCCCGGGUCGGAACUCCCCCCUCUCCCGCCGGUCACCCCUCACCCAGCCCCCGCUGCCCCGAGCUGGGGUGGUAGUGAUGGAGAUUAACUAGGAAACCCGAGUGGGGCUAAUUAUAACUCGGGGCUUCCGCUAAGCCUCCCCUUCCCCCAAAAUAGAGACGGAGUCCCCGCGGGCGGGGGACGCCUGGGCCUGGGAGGGGGCUUCGGCUGGGCGCUGCUCAGGGGCGCUGAGGUCGCAGGAUCCGGGGGCACCCAGCCCGGCGCCAGGAACCUGCGCAGCUCGGAUUCCGCCCUAAGCAGGGGGCGUCUUCCAGUGGCCCCCAGACAGUCUUGGGGGCGAGCACAGGCAGCGGCGCUCGAGGGUCCCCACGGGAAUUCGAGAGCAGAAGCCGGGGCCGGCCCUGCAGGUUGCCGCGCGCGCGGGCGACCCAGCGGACCACUCCAGAGAGCCAGGAUAAGGGUGCAGGUGUCAGGAGAUCCACAGCGUCCUGGAGCAAGCCCUGGACGGGGUUCUCACUCAGAGUUCUGCCGACUGGUGGGGAGACCUCUGGAGGGACAACACUGCUCGUCUUGGCUUCAGUUUCCCCACGUCCAAAAUGGUGGAUUGGACUUGAAGGUAUGUCAGAAUCCCGGGGCCACUUACAGGCGCUGAUCCACCUGGUGUUGGGUGGAGUCCUUAAAUCUGCAUUUUUAGCAGGUCAUCAGGGCAGUCGCAGCACGAGGGUGGUCUGACAACCACAAGAGGAAAAAUGUGGGAUGAGGUGCCCCCAUAGUGGCACCAAACUGACCUCCUCGGGGUCAGCAGGCUGAGUAGGUCAGCAGGAAGUGCUCCGGGUAGUCAGCGGAUUCCAGACCUGACCCAGACACCUCUGGCCACCAGGGCAGAUGGAUAAAGAUUUGCGCUUAUUCUUAAAAGUGGGUAGAACUCCCGGAACAAUUCCCUUUUUUACCUUGAGCCUUUCUCUAACCUUUGUCAACAGGGACCUCACCUGUUGACCCAUAACACCUUCCCCUGUGUAGUCCAACAUAGUCACCUCCCCCGUGUGACCACACCUCCACAGCUGUCACUACAGAGAUGUUCUCAUCCAUUUCUUCCUUCUUCCUGUCUGCUUAUCCGGGAAUCCAUCUGGCUUCUGUCAUCAGUGCUGCCAAUUCUACAGCUCUUGCAUCUCUGUCUUCUACCUUUGCUAACACAGGGAACCCCUACUUCCACUGAAGUCCUCUGCCAGCAAAAAGGAUUCUCAUCUCUGUUGAUGUGUUAGGAUUCAGUUCAGCUAUGUGAGACAGAAAAUCAAACAAUAAUGGCUUGAAUUAAAUGUAAUGGAAAUAUAUUUCCCUCUGAGAUAAAAGGGACCCAGAAGUCAGCCAUGCAGGGUGGGCAGGAUGCCCUCGACGUCAGGGACCUGAUUCCUUUACAUAGAAUUUUCUUGCUUAAUCAUUUUCAAUAUGUAGCUUCCACUGCGUGGUGUAACAUGGCUGCUGGAGCAUCAGCCAUCACAUCUACAUUCCUACCAGCAGGAAGGAGGAAGGACUGAGGAAGGGUAUCCAUACUCCCUUUAAGGACACUUUUUGGGAAUCACAGACACACAGACUUCCAUUUAUAUCCCACUGGCCAGAACUUAAUCCUAAAGUCAGAACUGGCUGUACAGGAG